AGCCACAUGUCCUCCUGUGCUGGGAUACACUGUUCGCAGCAGGAAGUGGAAGCUGCAUGGGGAAAGCUCUGGUGAUGGGACUGGGUGGCAGGGAUGAGGUGCUGGGCUCAGCCUCUCACAAGAACAUAGAGCAUCUUCCAAGCCCCCUGUGAACAUUCAUCAAGUCUCAAGGCCCCACAGCGAGGUGGGCAACUACCAUUAUCCCUGCCUCACAGGUGGGGGAAACUGAGGCACGGAGCGGAAUGCCAGCACUCUGCGGACGUCUAGUGUAUGAAGGGACACAUCCCUGUUAUUGGCGUACGGCUUGGGAAAGAACACAGGGACAUAGAUUCCAAGUGCCUUUAGUGUCACACAGGAGUCUUUCAGGGUGUGUAAGGAGACGUCCGUGCUCUCUGCAAACAAUUUUUGCCCCUCAAAAGGUAAAUCCUCUACUGUCGCCUGAAAUUCCUGGGGGAAGCAGGAGAGAUGGAGCCAUGAAGCUCUCCGCAUGACAAAGGACGGGGCG